CCUACGGGGGGCAGCAGUGGGGAAUAUUGGACAAUGGGGGCAACCCUGAUCCAGCCAUGCCGCGUGUGUGAAGAAGGCCCUCGGGUUGUAAAGCACUUUCAGUGAGGAAGAAUGCCUGGUGGUGAAGACCCAUCAGGAAAGACAUCACUCACAGAAGAAGCACCGGCUAACUCCGUGCCAGCAGCCGCGGUAAUACGGAGGGUGCGAGCGUUAAUCGGAAUUACUGGGCGUAAAGCGCGCGUAGGUGGCUUGAUAAGCCGGUUGUGAAAGCCCCGGGCUCAAACUGGGAACGGCAUCCGGAACUGUCAAGCUAGAGUGCAGGAGAGGAAGGUAGAAUUCCCGGUGUAGCGGUGAAAUGCGUAGAGAUCGGGAGGAAUACCAGUGGCGAAGGCGGCCUUCUGGACUGACACUGACACUGAGGUGCGAAAGCGUGGGUAGCAAACAGGAUUAGAUACCCCAGUAGUC
rnacentral:rRNA from 1 species